rnacentral:rRNA from 1 species
GAUGAACGCUAGCGGCAGGCUUAACACAUGCAAGUCGAGGGGUAGAGGUUGCUUGCAACCUUGAGACCGGCGCACGGGUGCGUAACGCGUAUGCAACCUACCUUUUACAGAGGGAUAGCCCAGAGAAAUUUGGAUUAAUACCUCAUAGUAUAUAACCUUCGCAUGUUGGUUAUAUUAAAGUUCCAACGGUAAAAGAUGGGCAUGCGUCCUAUUAGCUAGAUGGUAAGGUAACGGCUUACCAUGGCUACGAUAGGUAGGGGUCCUGAGAGGGAGAUCCCCCACACUGGUACUGAGACACGGACCAGACUCCUACGGGAGGCAGCAGUCGAGAAUGUUUCUCAAUGGGGGAAACCCUGAAGGAGCGACGCCGCGUGGAGGAUGAAGGUCUUCGGAUUGUAAACUCCUGUCAUUGGUGAACAAGGUCCUGGGAGUAACUGCCCUUGGGCUUGAUAGUAGCCGAAGAGGAAGAGACGGCUAACUCUGUGCCAGCCGCCGCGGUAAUAC